AUGUGGUAAACAUACACAUAUAGUAGAUGGAGGCAUGCAAUCUUUAAAAAGGCAACAUUGAAGUCAGUGCACGGAUUAGUGUGUGAUAAUUAGAUU